rnacentral:misc_RNA from 1 species
AAGUCGUAACAAGGUUUUCCCGUAGGUGAACCUGCGGAAGGAUCAUUAAAGAGAUAGGGUCUUCAUGGCCCGAACCUCAAUCCCUCUGUUGUUAUAACUACCUUGUUGCUUUGGCGGGAUCCGUCUCGGUCUCCGAUGCGCACUAACCCUCGGGUUGGUGAGCGCCCUGCCAGAGUCCAACCAAAUCUCUUGUAUUAAAACCAGUCUGUCUGAGUAUAAAAUUUUUAUUAAUAAAA